rnacentral:tRNA from 1 species
AGUCUUAUAGUCAAAAAUGAUAUAAAAUUGCAAAUUUUAAGGUAUAAUAAGUUAUUAAGGCUU